rnacentral:rRNA from 1 species
UGGGGAAUAUUGCACAAUGGGCGCAAGCCUGAUGCAGCCAUGCCGCGUGUGUGAAGAAGGCCUUCGGGUUGUAAGCACUUUCAGCGAGGAGGAAGGUGGUGAACUUAAUACGUUCAUCAAUUGACGUUACUCGCAGAAGAAGCACCGGCUAACUCCGUGCCAGCAGCCGCGGUAAUACGGAGGGUGCAAGCGUUAAUCGGAAUUACUGGGCGUAAAGCGCACGCAGGCGGUUUGUUAAGUCAGAUGUGAAAUCCCCGGGCUCAACCUGGGAACUGCAUUUGAAACUGCAAGCUAGAGUCUCGUAGAGGGGGUAGAAUUCCAGGUGUAGCGGUGAAAUGCGUAGAGAUCUGGAGGAAUACCGGUGGCGAAGGCGGCCCCCUGGACGAAGACUGACGCUCAGGU